GUAACGGGGACGUCAACCAAACCACACGAUGCGAUGGUAACAAAGCUGAUACCACGGUUGAUACUCGCGCAUCGCGAAGUCGCAGAUUGACCUUUAGCCGUACCCGUGCCUGAUCUGAUUUCACCAUAAGGACACUGAUUGUAUCGGAAGCAGUGGAAAAAAAUCGUCCCUUCCGCUUUCUUACAAUACACGCUUAACUAGGCUAAGCUGGGUUAUUGACCGUCUUAUAAAGAAUAUGCAUAACUUAUUUGCAGCUCAUUAAAUAGACUUAUUCUUCUUCUUCGGUUAAUAAAGUGAGGAAAGUAUACUUUACGUAGUUACGAUAUGAAUAAAUUAUGAGCUGAUGGAACGAUAGAUCGGUCUUCGAAGAUAUAAUGGAAUUGUAAUAUAAUGGAAAAAUUGAAUGUGGAUGUUUCCAAUUAAUGGUCUCCAAUUUUUGGCAAUAUAUGUAUACGUAUACAUAUACAUCAGAGAAGAAAUUAAGCUUAUAAAAACAAGUUAAUUCUAUUUCGGUAAAAAAGAAAGAAUGCGGAAAAAAUUUAUGUACACAUUGAAGUGAGAAGAUUUAUAAAAAGUAUAAAAACUGCAGGCUGACGACGGAUAGAUCGAUUUAGUAAUUCGGAAAGAUCCGGACGUCUCAGAGUGGCAAGAGUCACUUUGGUACCACAUGACAUCGCGCGAGCGGGCGCAUUUACGUCGCGGGACAAUGGAAAAGGUCGCGCUCGUGCGCGCGGCAGCGGCUGUGGCAUUUGCGGCGUUCGUCGCUAAUAAACGUGUUCGCGAGAAAAUGCGCAACGUAUCGGACAGAGUCGAAAGGCACGGAUGAGUACGGGCCUUUCCGCAUGGGGGAACGGGGCGGG